UGACUUAGAAUUUUUCCUCUAUCCCCUUGAGGGGUGAUGUAUUUAUAGGGAUAUCUUGGACCUAGGGUUCUCUGCUCACACGUGGUCUUAACCACUUCCCUCUUACUAUGGGAGGUUAGUGACUUUAUCUUAAUUGAAUCCCACAUUCGAGGGACCCCUUAGGCGAGUCCAUUAUGUCUCGUCUGGGAGGUAUAAUUCUGGGGAGAGGGCACCCUAAUUUAGGAUUUUU
rnacentral:lncRNA from 1 species